CUGCAGGCCCCGCUGUGCCGCGGACGUUGCGGGGCCAGGAGAGACGCGCUCACCCCUCGCACCCCCAGCACGGCAAUGCCCGGUGCUACCGCGCACGGAGCCUUCAGGUCCGGCCCCUCACGGCGAUAGAGGCCGCAGAGCCGUUAUACAGAAGCCCCAGCCCCACCCGCGGCAGCGCGAUGCGGCCCCUCACCCUGGCAACGGAACCGGCACCGACCCGCGAUCCGCCGCACCGGUAGCGGAAGUGGAGCGCGCCGGAAGCGGAGGGAUGGCGGAUUGAUAGGAAAUGGAAGAAGAAAGGAGAGCUGAGCACAGCGCUGCAAGAACUGUCCCUCACAUUGUGUUGCAGACCUGAGCAAGGUGCAAUAUAAGAAAAAGCUGCACAGAAGGCUGGUUUUCCACAGUCUUUUUUUCUUCUGACCGGGAAUUAAUUUUAUGCGUUUCCUGCUUGGAUACAGAUUUUAAGUUUUGUUCUAUAUUCAGAUUUGAGCAUAAAAAGUGCUCUGGUUUCCAGAAAAGCGAUGCAAAUGGGAGGUUACUUCACUGACUGUUCGUGUCAGGUGUAGCUUCUGACUGCACUCAAAUCCCUGUUGAACCAGUUAGUGUGUAUAUAUUCUAGUCAUGAAGGGCUUUUCAUGCUAGUUCCCCUCUACAACUAUCGUGCUCUGAGGCAGCAUGGUACAGUAGUGCUGGAAAGCUUCCAAAGUUACAAGUAGUAAUUAAAGUCACACCCUGUCAUAAAACUAUGCACCCUGGAGGCCUUUUUAAACAAACUCAGGCUACAGAAAUGAGACUAUAAUGUGACCAGCUCUUUACUUACAAUCUUUUUGAUACAUUCUAAUAACUUCCUAAUUGGCCUUGAUAAAACUCUCUUGUGGAGAAGAGGCAUUAAUUGUUUUCCUGUUUGGUUUUGGUUUGAAAAAACUAUUCAAUGUUUCUAAAUGAUAUUUCAUUUUGGGUAUGAUGAUGGUGUUUUAGUGUCCUGAGCCAUGACUAGGACUACUUUGUGCUCAACACUGCUGAAAAAUGCUCUGAUUCUGGUGUUCAUGUGGCACAGAAAAAUAUGUCCUUAAACUCAGCUGUAAGAACACACGGUGGUGCUAAAUCCUAACAUUAAUAAGUGCAUAGUGUUAAAGGAGUUUCACUAAGACCAUAUAAUUGCAACUCAGAGCCCAAACAGCAGCAUCUUUGUACAGAAAAGUUUGUUUUGGGGUGGUACUCUUUGGGUUUACACUGUGGUAAAUUCUAGCAGGGCAAGGAAGAGGAAAAAGCAGUGAGGAAAUCUUAAAGCAAAUGUCCGCUCUGUGGCAUCCCGAUAUACCCUAUGCCUGGGAUGCUCUAGGGUGAAACUAAAGAAACUUGUUCUAAGCAGGCAGUAACAGCAAUGACAUGUGAGAAUGUCCAUCUCUUCAAGUCUACACUGUCCAAGUGUUUCCAGCCUAAGGCAGAUUUGUGCACAAAUGCUGUCCUAACCUCUUAAAUGUAAUACAACAGACAGCGUGGUUUACUGGACACUGCCAUCACUGUGCCCCAGGAACAGCAAUGUAUGAAUGCAAGCUCUGAUUCUGAAUCAGUGUGUGACUGUGGGCAAAACAGUGAAACUUUGCAGUGUUCAAUAACGCAAUGUGCUUCAGUAGCUGGCAGCUCAGCUGGAGACAUAGAAACGUCUCUGGUUUGAAAUGAAACACAUUUUCAAGUUAUCACUAAUACAGUGAGUCUCUGUCUUGGCUUCAUUAUCAAUAAGGUGGAAGUUGGACCAAUAUUUGUACAGCUUCCUCACAUGAGUUUUUUCCAAAUUAUUUACAUAGUGUUGGCACUGUGAGAUGUUAUAAAUACUAGAGGUUUGUACCCAUCUAAUAUGUGCUGCUCUGAUUGCUGAAUGUGACCAUUAUUCUUCUCCCACUAUUCAGCCUAAUUAUUUUUAUUUUAUUUACUUAAAUUCUUUGUAUUCUAAAUCAAGCCCCACUGGCAAGGGAUCUGGGGAGAGAACUGUGAUUCUUUUAUUCCCCGAACAAAAACUGAUUCAUCAUUUUCCUUACAUCACCUCUCAUCUCUCCAGCUUCUCAACACAGACAUUGGUAUGGCUUUCCCUUAGGUAAGUUGUAAAUCGCAGCAGCUGUGUAUUUGUUGGGAGUCAGCACUCCUCAGGGCUGUUAAAGUGGUAAAAAUGUAUGUAAUCAUAUGAGAUGUAAUUAUGAGAGAUACUGCAGAAGUGGUUUCCUGAAGAGAGUGAAAUAAAGAUGAAACUGUGAUACUGGGACAAGAUAAAUUGCUAGAAAGCUGUGGAAAGCUGAGAGAAUGACAGGAAAAAAUAAGAGUCAAUAUGAAGCUGAGAGAUGGGGAGAGAUUUAGGAAACAGGGUUAUAGACAAUGAAAAGAAGUUCUGAGAUGGGGUUAAGGAGUGAGACCUGCUGAAUCAGGCAGAUACAUUUGCUAUGUAUGGCUUCCAUUGAUGUGUUAAGGUUGUACAUACAAGGCACAAAAUCAGGUUUCACAGCCAAUCUUAAUUUUCGUAUGUAAUCGUUGUGUGACUACAUCUCACAGCGCGACCUACUGCUUUCACAUGUAUAUGCAUGAAUAUUUCAUGAAACAAUUCACUGUGAAAGAAGCUUCAAAUAAAACUGCCUGUUUUAUUGUC